AACGAACGCUGGCGGCGUGCUUAACACAUGCAAGUCGAACGAGAAAGCGGGCUUCGGUCCGCUAGUAAAGUGGCAGACGGGUGAGUAACACGUGGGUAACCUGCCCGGAGGUGGGGGACAACCCUCCGAAAGGAGGGCUAAUACCGCAUGAUAUCCCUGAGGCUUCGGCCUUGAGGAUCAAAGCUAGCCUCUACAUGUAAGCUAGCUCCACCGGAGGGGCCCGCGGCCCAUUAGCUAGUUGGGAGGUAACGGCUCACCAAGGCGACGAUGGGUAGCCGGCCUGAGAGGGUGUUCGGCCACACUGGAACUGAGACACGGUCCAGACUCCUACGGGAGGCAGCAGUGAGGAAUCUUGCGCAAUGGGCGAAAGCCUGACGCAGCGACGCCGCGUGGAGGACGAAGGUCUUCGGAUCGUAAACUCCUGUCAAGUGGGACGAAGGCUGUUGGGAUGAAUAAGCCCAGCAGUUGACGGUACCGC
rnacentral:rRNA from 1 species